rnacentral:rRNA from 1 species
GAUGAACGCUGGCGGCGUGCCUAAUACAUGCAAGUCGAGCGAACAGACGAGGAGCUUGCUCCUCUGACGUUAGCGGCGGACGGGUGAGUAACACGUGGAUAACCUACCUAUAAGACUGGGAUAACUUCGGGAAACCGGAGCUAAUACCGGAUAAUAUAUUGAACCGCAUGGUUCAAUAGUGAAAGACGGUUUUGCUGUCACUUAUAGAUGGAUCCGCGCCGCAUUAGCUAGUUGGUAAGGUAAUGGCUUACCAAGGCAACGAUGCGUAGCCGACCUGAGAGGGUGAUCGGCCACGCUGGAACUGAGACACGGUCCAGACUCCUACGGGAGGCAGCAGUAGGGAAUCUUCCGCAAUGGGCGAAAGCCUGACGGAGCAACGCCGCGUGAGUGAUGAAGGUCUUCGGAUCGUAAAACUCUGUUAUUAGGGAAGAACAAAUGUGUAAGUAACUAUGCACGUCUUGACGGUACCUAAUCAGAAAGCCACGGCUAACUACGUG